GGAGAAGUUGAGGAAUUUGCUGUGAUGCUCAGCCCUCCUUGACGCGCCCUUGGACUAACGUGGCAGAACAAUGGGAACAGCAAAUUAGUUGACGUUGGGCGCCCUUCACAGACAAAACACCGGCACCGAGAAGGAGCUGCAGGCACACGUGGAGAUCACCGAUGUCGAUGGAGCCUCCUUUGAACUUCCGAAGGUAAAAGGCACCGAGAAGGAGCUGCAGGCACGCGUGGGGAUCACUGAUGUCAAUUGAUCACCGAAAAUCAAAGGGCAGCACACGUUCGCCAACGAUUCUCCCUCACGAUCCGUCCCUCUCUCUCGAUUCUCAACUUUUUGUCCUCAAUU
rnacentral:lncRNA from 1 species